UCAAGCUACUAAGGGCAUACGGUGGAUGCCUUGGCACUAAGAGCCGAUGAAGGACGCGGUAAGCUGCGAAAAGCCACGGGGAACUGCAAGCAAGUCUUGAUCCGUGGAUGUCCGAAUGGGGAAACCCACCAUCCGUCAUGGGAUGGUAUCCUACGGGAGGGGAACCCGGUGAACUGAAACAUCUAAGUAGCCGGAGGAAGAGAAAUCAAACGAGAUGCCCACAGUAGCGGCGAGCGAAGAGGGCAGAGCCUAAACCAGUCAUCUUCGGAUGGUUGGGGUUACGGACCUGCAUCAACCGAGUCCUACCUAGUCGAAUUACCUGGAAAGGUAAGCCAGAGAGCGUAAGAGCCGCGUAGGUGAAAGGAGGGACGAGGGGGCAGGAAUCCAGAGUACCACGAAGCACGAGGAAUUUUGUGGGAAGUCGGGGGGACCACCCUCCAAGGCUAAACACUUCUUAGUGACCGAUAGCGCAUAGUACCGUGAGGGAAAGGUGAAAAGAACCGCGGGAGCGGAGUGAAAGAGAACCUGAAACCGUAUGUCUACAAGCAGUCGGAGCGCAAGCGACGGCGUGCCUAUUGAAGAAUGAGCCAACGAGUUACGGGCACCAGCGAGGUUAAGCAGGAAAUGCGGAGCCGGAGCGAAAGCGAGUCUAAACAGGGCGAAUAGUUGGUGUUCGUAGACCCGAAACUGUAGUGAUCUACCCAUGAUCAGGUUGAAGCGCAGGUAAAAAUGCGUGGAGGACCGAACCGGUGAGCGUUGAAAAGCUUUCGGAUGAAUCGUGGGUAGCGGUGAAAUUCCAAUCGAACGCAGAGAUAGCUGGUUCUCCUCGAAAUAGCUUUAGGGCUAGCCUCAAGCAGUAAGCAUAGGCGGUAGAGCACUGAUCGGGAUAGGGUCCGUAAAGGAUACCGAACCCUGUCAAACUACGAAUGGUUAUGCUGCAGAGCUUGGGAGUCAGACUACGAGAGAUAAGUCCCGUUGUCAAAAGGGAAACAGCCCAGACCGUCAGCUAAGGUCCCCAAUGCCAUACUAAGUGGAAAAGGAUGUGGGGUCUCAUAAACAACCAGGAUGUUGGCUCAGAAGCAGCCACCAUUUAAAGAGUGCGUAAUAGCUCACUGGUCGAGAGGCCCUGCGCCGAAGAUUCCCGGGGCUAAAGUAUGGAACCGAAGCUACGGAUGCGGUACUUGUACCGCGUGGUAGAGGAGCGUUCCCAUUGGGUUGAAGUCGUCCUGGAAGGGACGGUGGACUGGUGGGAAGUGAGAAUGUUGGCAUGAGUAGCGAAAAGAUAGGUGAGAAUCCUAUCCACCGAAAGCAUAAGGAUUCCUGAGCAACGAUCGUCGUCUCAGGGUAAGUCGGGACCUAAUCCGAGGCAUGGAGCGUAGGAGAUGGACAACUGGUUGAUAUUCCAGUACCGGCAGCAAUCGUUUGAACGAUGGAGUGACGCAGGAAGGCAGGUCCGCGCGAGAAUGGUAGAUCGCGUACAAGCGUGCAGGCUGGUGCACAGGCAAAUCCGUGUACUGAGGCUGAGGCGUGAUGUGGAGGGAACUUGUUCCCGAAGGGAUUGAGCCUACGCUGCCGAGAAAAGCUUCUAGUGAGAAAGCUGCCGCCCGUACCGUAAACCGACACAGGUAUGCGGGGAGAGAAUCCUAAGGUGCGCGGGAGAACCCUCGUUAAGGAACUCGGCAAAAUGUACCCGUAACUUCGGGAUAAGGGUAGCCGCUGUUGUGAAGUCUGAACAGACGGAGCAUGAGGCGGUCGCAGAGAAGAGGCCCAAGCGACUGUUUACCACAAACACAGGUGCCUGCUAAAGAGAAAUCUGACGUAUAGGUGCUGACACCUGCCCAGUGCCGGAAGGUUAAGGAAGGAUGUCCGGAGCAAUCCAAAGCAUUCGACCGAAGCCCCGGUGAACGGCGGCCGUAACUAUAACGGUCCUAAGGUAGCGAAAUUCCUUGUCGGGUAAG
rnacentral:rRNA from 1 species